AGUCGAGCGAGGUUACUGUUUUGGAUCCCUUCGGGGUGAAGAAGCUUUAACCUAGCGGCGGACGGGUGAGUAACGCGUGGGUAACCUACCCCAAAGUCCGGGAUAACAGCGGGAAACCGCUGCUAAUACCGGAUGCCUUUACCUUGGGGCAUCUUGAGGUAAAGAAAGGCAACGCUUUGGGAUGGGCCCGCGUCCCAUUAGCUAGUUGGUGAGGUAACGGCUCACCAAGGCGACGAUGGGUAGCCGGCCUGAGAGGGUGGACGGCCACACUGGGACUGAGACACGGCCCAGACUCCUACGGGAGGCAGCAGUAGGGAAUAUUGCGCAAUGGACGGAAGUCUGACGCAGCGACGCCGCGUGAGCGAUGAAGGUCUUCGGAUCGUAAAGCUCUGUCCUUGGGGAAGAAGGCGAAAGCUUGACGGUACCCAAGAAGAAAGCCCCGGCUAACUACGUGCCAGCAGCCGCGGUAAUACGUAGGGGGCGAGCGUUGUCCGGAAUUACUGGGCGUAAAGGGUGCGUAGGCGGCCCUUUAAGUCGGAUGUGAAAGCCCGCGGCUUAACCGCGGAAUGGCAUUCGAAACUGGAGGGCUUGAGUGUCGGAGAGGGUAGUGGAAUUCCCAGUGUAGCGGUGAAAUGCGUAGAUAUUGGGAGGAACACCAGUGGCGAA
rnacentral:rRNA from 1 species